rnacentral:rRNA from 1 species
AUUGAACGCUGGCGGCAGGCUUAACACAUGCAAGUCGAACGAGUGGCGGGCGGGUGUGUAAUGCGGGGGACUCUAGCUUAUGGAGGGGGAAAGCCACGGGAACAUGGCGCUAAUACCACGUUCUCUAGGGUGAGCCCAUGGGGGCUUCGGUAGUUGGUGAGGGAAAGGCUCACCAAGCCGACGAUCUCUAGCUGGUCUGAGAGGAUGACCAGCCACAUUGGGACUGAGACACGGCCCAGACUCCUACGGGAGGCAGGAGUGGGGAAUAUUGCGCAAGGGGGGCAACCUGACGAAGCCAUGCCGCGUGAAUGAAGAAGGCCUUCGGGUUGUAAAGUUCUUUCGGUAGCGAGGCGUUAACUACAGAAGAAGCACCGGCUAACUCCGUGCCAGCAGCCGCGGUAAUUC